rnacentral:rRNA from 5 species
UCGGAUCGCGGCGACGCCGGCGGUUCGCCGCCGGUGACGUUGUGAGAAGUUCAUUAAACCUUAUCAUUUAGAGGAAGGAGAAGUCGUAACAAGGUUUCCGUAGGUGAACCUGCGGAAGGAUCAUUG